rnacentral:rRNA from 1 species
GAUGAACGCUGGCGGCGUGCCUAAUACAUGCAAGUCGAGCGAACGGACGAGAAGCUUGCUUCUCUGAUGUUAGCGGCGGACGGGUGAGUAACACGUGGAUAACCUACCUAUAAGACUGGGAUAACUUCGGGAAACCGGAGCUAAUACCGGAUAAUAUUUUGAACCGCAUGGUUCAAAAGUGAAAGACGGUCUUGCUGUCACUUAUAGAUGGAUCCGCGCUGCAUUAGCUAGUUGGUAAGGUAACGGCUUACCAAGGCAACGAUGCAUAGCCGACCUGAGAGAGUAAUCGGCCACACUGGAACUGAUACCCGGUCCAGACUCCUACGGGAGGCAGCAGUAGGGAAUCUUCCGCUAUGGGCGAAAGCCUGACGGAGCAACGCCGCGUGAGUGAUGAAGGUCUUCGGAUCGUAAAACUCUGUUAUUAGGGAAGAACAUAUGUGUAAGUAACUGUGCACAUCUUGACGGUACCUAAUCAGAAAGCCACGGCUAACUACGUG